rnacentral:lncRNA from 1 species
CCACAUGGCUAUGUAUGCUGCCAACACAACUGUUAUAAAGAUGCAUUCACAGAACAAAUGGCCGUGAUCGGCAGUAUGCAUCUUUUGUGGUGCACUUUAUGUUGGGUAUAAUUUCUUCAAUAUGAAGGCAUCAAAUGGAUACUUCUCGUAAGUGGAUCGAAAGAAUCCUUAUCCCUUUAGCUUUUCCAGCCGACCAAUAUUUCACUUUACCCUCUAGAAAAUUCCCAAUUUCCCCGAACUUUUAAAUUUUAAUUAAAAAAUACUAAUACUAUUUUGUUAGCUUUAAAGACUCCUUUCUAAGCCCACAACACACGGCUAUUUCAAAACAUCUCAAAGGUCUCCGCACAUUUACUCCCUUUUUUACCGUUAAAAUUCCCUGCUGACAAAAUUACUAAUUUACCCAGGCCCUAAUUAAAACAAAGAAGCAAUUUUGUGGCGGCACUUGGGGGGAAG